GGUUAAGUGACUAAGCGUACACGGUGGAUGCCCUGGCAGUCAGAGGCGAUGAAGGACGUGCUAAUCUGCGAUAAGCGUCGGUAAGGUGAUAUGAACCGUUAUAACCGGCGAUUUCCGAAUGGGGAAACCCAGUGUGAUUCGUCACACUAUCAUUAACUGAAUCCAUAGGUUAAUGAGGCGAACCGGGGGAACUGAAACAUCUAAGUACCCCGAGGAAAAGAAAUCAACCGAGAUUCCCCCAGUAGCGGCGAGCGAACGGGGAGGAGCCCAGAGCCUGAAUCAGUGUGUGUGUUAGUGGAAGCGUCUGGAAAGGCGCGCGAUACAGGGUGACAGCCCCGUACACAAAAAUGCACAUGCUGUGAGCUCGAUGAGUAGGGCGGGACACGUGGUAUCCUGUCUGAAUAUGGGGGGACCAUCCUCCAAGGCUAAAUACUCCUGACUGACCGAUAGUGAACCAGUACCGUGAGGGAAAGGCGAAAAGAACCCCGGCGAGGGGAGUGAAAAAGAACCUGAAACCGUGUACGUACAAGCAGUGGGAGCACAGAGCAAUCUGUGUGACUGCGUACCUUUUGUAUAAUGGGUCAGCGACUUAUAUUCUGUAGCAAGGUUAACCGAAUAGGGGAGCCGAAGGGAAACCGAGUCUUAACUGGGCGUUAAGUUGCAGGGUAUAGACCCGAAACCCGGUGAUCUAGCCAUGGGCAGGUUGAAGGUUGGGUAACACUAACUGGAGGACCGAACCGACUAAUGUUGAAAAAUUAGCGGAUGACUUGUGGCUGGGGGUGAAAGGCCAAUCAAACCGGGAGAUAGCUGGUUCUCCCCGAAAGCUAUUUAGGUAGCGCCUCGUGAAUUCAUCUCCGGGGGUAGAGCACUGUUUCGGCAAGGGGGUCAUCCCGACUUACCAACCCGAUGCAAACUGCGAAUACCGGAGAAUGUUAUCACGGGAGACACACGGCGGGUGCUAACGUCCGUCGUGAAGAGGGAAACAACCCAGACCGCCAGCUAAGGUCCCAAAGUCAUGGUUAAGUGGGAAACGAUGUGGGAAGGCCCAGACAGCCAGGAUGUUGGCUUAGAAGCAGCCAUCAUUUAAAGAAAGCGUAAUAGCUCACUGGUCGAGUCGGCCUGCGCGGAAGAUGUAACGGGGCUAAACCAUGCACCGAAGCUGCGGCAGCGACACUAUGUGUUGUUGGGUAGGGGAGCGUUCUGUAAGCCUGUGAAGGUGUGCUGUGAGGCAUGCUGGAGGUAUCAGAAGUGCGAAUGCUGACAUAAGUAACGAUAAAGCGGGUGAAAAGCCCGCUCGCCGGAAGACCAAGGGUUCCUGUCCAACGUUAAUCGGGGCAGGGUGAGUCGACCCCUAAGGCGAGGCCGAAAGGCGUAGUCGAUGGGAAACAGGUUAAUAUUCCUGUACUUGGUGUUACUGCGAAGGGGGGACGGAGAAGGCUAUGUUGGCCGGGCGACGGUUGUCCCGGUUUAAGCGUGUAGGCUGGUUUUCCAGGCAAAUCCGGAAAAUCAAGGCUGAGGCGUGAUGACGAGGCACUACGGUGCUGAAGCAACAAAUGCCCUGCUUCCAGGAAAAGCCUCUAAGCAUCAGGUAACAUCAAAUCGUACCCCAAACCGACACAGGUGGUCAGGUAGAGAAUACCAAGGCGCUUGAGAGAACUCGGGUGAAGGAACUAGGCAAAAUGGUGCCGUAACUUCGGGAGAAGGCACGCUGAUAUGUAGGUGAAGCGACUUGCUCGUGGAGCUGAAAUCAGUCGAAGAUACCAGCUGGCUGCAACUGUUUAUUAAAAACACAGCACUGUGCAAACACGAAAGUGGACGUAUACGGUGUGACGCCUGCCCGGUGCCGGAAGGUUAAUUGAUGGGGUCAGCGCAAGCGAAGCUCUUGAUCGAAGCCCCGGUAAACGGCGGCCGUAACUAUAACGGUCCUAAGGUAGCGAAAUUCCUUGUCGGGUAAGUUCCGACCUGCACGAAUGGCGUAAUGAUGGCCAGGCUGUCUCCACCCGAGACUCAGUGAAAUUGAACUCGCUGUGAAGAUGCAGUGUACCCGCGGCAAGACGGAAAGACCCCGUGAACCUUUACUAUAGCUUGACACUGAACAUUGAGCCUUGAUGUGUAGGAUAGGUGGGAGGCUUUGAAGUGUGGACGCCAGUCUGCAUGGAGCCGACCUUGAAAUACCACCCUUUAAUGUUUGAUGUUCUAACGUUGACCCGUAAUCCGGGUUGCGGACAGUGUCUGGUGGGUAGUUUGACUGGGGCGGUCUCCUCCUAAAGAGUAACGGAGGAGCACGAAGGUUGGCUAAUCCUGGUCGGACAUCAGGAGGUUAGUGCAAUGGCAUAAGCCAGCUUGACUGCGAGCGUGACGGCGCGAGCAGGUGCGAAAGCAGGUCAUAGUGAUCCGGUGGUUCUGAAUGGAAGGGCCAUCGCUCAACGGAUAAAAGGUACUCCGGGGAUAACAGGCUGAUACCGCCCAAGAGUUCAUAUCGACGGCGGUGUUUGGCACCUCGAUGUCGGCUCAUCACAUCCUGGGGCUGAAGUAGGUCCCAAGGGUAUGGCUGUUCGCCAUUUAAAGUGGUACGCGAGCUGGGUUUAGAACGUCGUGAGACAG
rnacentral:rRNA from 1 species